rnacentral:rRNA from 1 species
UACGAAGGGGGCUAGCGUUGCUCGGAAUCACUGGGCGUAAAGCGCACGUAGGCGGCUUUUUAAGUCAGGGGUGAAAUCCGUGGAGCUCAACUCCAGAACUGCCUUUGAUACUGAGAAGCUUGAGUCCGGGAGAGGUGAGUGGAACUGCGAGUGUAGAGGUGAAAUUCGUAGAUAUUCGCAAGAACACCAAUUGCGAAGGCAGCUCACUACACAAUCAUUGACGCUGAGGCACGAAAGCGUGGGGAUCAAACAGG